UCGAAAUUACAAUGGUAUUGAAAUAAUAAAGCAGUAAAGAAAGCAGUUGAAGGAAAGAAAAGACAUGAAGAGCCAAGUUAGUUUUAUGAUGAAAGAAUAAAGUUAGGAAAUAAAUAAAAUUAAUGAAAUAAAGUCACAAACAACAAGUUAUGGUAAAAGCCUAAAGAAUCCCCAGUAGAGUCGCCAUGCUAUCGACACCCCCUUUUCCAUCCAAACCGGGGUUCGAAAUUGGGUAUACGAUGUUAUGGAAGGACAAUUCUUAUUCCGUUGCAAGAAUUGGCUUUUGGAAUUUAGAGAGUCAUCACCUAAUGAUUAUAGUGCAUUAGGACACUUUUAUAUAAAGAAUUUGAGAAGAAGAAUCAGAGUUUGGGUAAUGGCUAGAAAUUAUCUCGAGGAGAAGGUAUUAGGGACCUCUCAAGAUCCACUUGUGUGGUUCCCGGCCAUACUACAAUUGUGACUUUAGAGAAGAAACAAGUGAAGAAGCAAAUAAGAGUUUCAUAUAACUAUUACAAACAAGUUCAAAAGUUUAAAAGAGAAAAGAAAUGGAAAUUUUAGAAAGUUAGUUAAAAGAAAGAAAUUUAAAAGAAACAUAAUAAGUAAAGGGAAAAGGGGUCUUAGGUUUACACGUAAUAUGGAUCACAUCAAUGCAGUACCCGGCGUACACCCCGCAGAAGAGGGGUCACACGUGAUAUUAGCGCAUUGGUCAUCAUAUCCAUAUUCUAUCCUUCCCACUCAAUAGUCUCGUCUACUUAUUGCAUGCUAGUACCCGCCCCAGUCCUAUCAGUCCUGGGGUAUUAGGACUUCUAAUCCUAAAUGGGAGAAAUGGAUGGGGGCCUUUAUGGAGUUUAAAGGACAAAAUAGUAAUUCGAAAUUCAAAACAUAUAUGCAAAUAUGGGAGAAGCAGUCAAGCAAGUAAGCUCAAGUAAACCCCUUAUAUUAGAUAAGUCAUAUAGUUUAGCAUGUCUUUGGAAAUACUGGUUUGGUCUUAAAUUAUAUUAAGCAGUGAGCGGACUGGUUCAACAAAUAUAUUUAGACAUGAAGUCUGCAUUAGGCCUACUCGGAUGCAGUUGUCAAAAUUAAGGCAACGCGGAUUGAAUAAGAUACUGACUUUAGAAAAUAAAUUGGUACAGAAAGGUUUUGAAGAAAAAGUAGGCAGCAGAUUUAAGAAAACGGUUUUAGCAAGAGUUCCAGAAAGACAGACUAUUUAGUUGCGGAUAAAAAAAAAGACUUUAAAACGAGUUUCAAAAG
rnacentral:lncRNA from 1 species